UGGAAUUAUCGAGUGUAACAGCAACUCCAUGUGGGCUGUGUACCAACUUCCAGUGGAGAUGCUGUUACUUUUGAUGGUUAC
rfam:Pteropus alecto contig66804, whole genome shotgun sequence.